UACGUAGGGUGCAAGCGUUUGUCCGGAAUUAUUGGGCGUAAAGAGCUCGUAGGCGGUCUGUCGCGUCUGCUGUGAAAACUCAGGGCUUAACCCUGAGCUUGCAGUGGGUACGGGCAGACUAGAGUGCGGUAGGGGGAGACUGGAAUUCCUGGUGUAGCGGUGAAAUGCGCAGAUAUCAGGAGGGAACACCGGUGGGCGAAAGGCGGGUCUCUGGACAGUUCCUGACAGCUGAG
rnacentral:rRNA from 1 species